CCACCCACGGGCCGUAUUAAAUCUAAAUCGGUCCGACUCUCCCGCAACACGACCCCGGCGCACGCACGAAGAUCUCUCUUCGUCUUGCACGGCCUCGAAGGGAAACCUAGAUCUAUUUCUGCCCCUAUAUAUACUGGCCAGAACGAGAGCAAACGUCAAAUCCCAGCCCUGAAACCCUAGCCGCAAUCUGCCUCGACUUCUUUCCCAACCUUUAUCCAUGCACCUUCAGUUAGGCCCCCUGACUUUGAUCUGCAUGUCACCAAGGAAGGCAUUGUUACCGAACUUGCCCAAUUGAUCUGUGCUGCAGGGCGAUCUUGGCCUUGCACAUCUGGUUGAACACUUUGUUAUGAAGGGUUCUUUUAAGAGCUGUAGUUUUUGUUGUAAUACGAUAUAUGAAUUUUGUCUUUGUUUCAUAAUGCCUGUUUGGUUGGUUAGUAACAUUUGAUUUUCCUGCCUUAGUAUGGCUUGAACCAUAAAUCAUGUGACAAGGAGAUCCAAACUAGAAAUUCUUACACAGUACAAAAAACCUGUUUACCUAAA